UACGUAGGGGGCAAGCGUUGUCCGGAAUUAUUGGGCGUAAAGAGCGCGUAGGCGGUCCGAUAAGUCGGCUGUGAAAGUCCAAGGCUCAACCUUGGGAUGCCGGUCGAUACUGCCGGACUAGAGUUCGGAAGAGGCGAGUGGAAUUCCCGGUGUAGCGGUGAAAUGCGCAGAUAUCGGGAGGAACACCUAUGGCGAAGGCAGCUCGCUGGGACGUUACUGACGCUGAGACGCGGAAAGCGUGGGGGAGCAAACAGG
rnacentral:rRNA from 1 species